GUGCUUGCUUUGGCAGCACAUACACUAAAACUGGAACCAUACAGAGAACAUUAUCAUGGUCCCUGCUUAAGGUUGGCAAACAAAUUCAUGAAGUGUUCUAGAUAUUA